CCUUUCUCUUGGAUAACAUCACUGGCAUGGAGAGGGUAAGCUGGUAUGCAUGGGCUACUGCUGGUCUUCCAUAAACAAUCUUGCCUUGACUUGUGCCUCGAAGGAUAACUUUCUAGGUGCAAUCCCAGAGUCAUUCAUAACUGAAAGGGAUCUUUACUUUACAACUAAGACAAAUUUUCUUCAGACAUGUUUCCAU